AUCCCAUUUUUCCAAUCAAACACAAGAACGGAAACCAUUCCAUUUUGUAGCUUCAACCAAGCAUAGGAAUGAAACCAAUCUGUUCCACCAUGAAAUUCCAUUCCAUUUCAUUUGGUUCCUCGUCCAAACACACCCUUGGUUGUCUCUCUCCGCACCCACACACAUAUACAACCUAAUAAGGGUGGCGCAAAGGGCAAACUCUCGCGUUAGCCACGUCAGAUUAGCUACGAGACAAAGGGUUCGCUUCGUCGAGAAUAAACAGAAAAUUACAGAGAAAAGGAUUGGCCAGCGGCCCUCAGUCACCAUCCCUCGAUUCCUCUCCCUCUCCCUUGUCUACCCGCCGCCGCCGCGCCGCCCACGACCUCCCCAACCGCUGACGUUCCCACCCCCUACCUUCUCCUUGCCUCACCCCUCCCCCCUCGCACCAGAUCGAGCGGCAGGAUCCGGCACGCCCAUGGCGCUCUUUACCGUUCAGGACGCCAUGGACAAAGUGCUCUGGCCCUGGUGCUGCAUCCAUGGACAAGGAGGACAUCUCUCUCUGUCUCUCUGUGCUGAAUCAAGUUGCAGCUGCUGCAACCUCAAUGCCCCAGCAAGCAGCACCAACCCUAGCCCUUGCUUCAAUGACGACCCAGCAGGCAGGAGGUGCAGCACAGGCUCUACUGGCAAUAUUUGAUAGCCCUCUAACUAAGGCUGGGAGGUUACAAGAUGUUUAUGUAAUGUAAGAACUGAAAAGGGGAUGUUAUUUGAGGUCAAGCCGAAUGUUCGCUUGCUACGCACACCCAAACGUUUUUGUGGCUUGAUGUCACUGUUAUUGCAAAAGUUGAGCAUUACUGCUGUUGGGAAGCAUGAGAAGCUUCACCCGCAAAAACAAAAAGGGAAGCAUGAGAAGCUGCUUAAUCUUAUUAAAAAUCCUGUUACCCGGUAUCUACUUGUUGGCUCACGGAAGAUUGGCCUUUCAUAUAGCGCGGAUAAGUCAGUUAAACUGAAUGACUAUGUUGCCGAAUGCAGUGAUGAUGAAGCCCUUGUGUUUGUGGUUGGUGCCAUGGCUCAUGGAAAGAUUGACAAUGAAUACAUAGACGAGCACAUACGGAGACGAGGAGGUCGAGCAGUCAGUGGUGUCUUCGUCAUCGCCGGCUGCGCUGGUAUGUUGUUCUCUUUUCCCUGCUCCGCCGCGUAGGCCACUCCAGCACCACGGGAUACGAGUAUGGCGUUGCCAUGGCUGGGUUGAGGAUGAUCAGUUCAUCCCCAACGCGUCGCUGUGUGUCCAUCCGAUGAACAAGAGAGCUGUCAACAGAAGAAGCACGACUCAUAACCUCUUUGCAAGGAAGUGUGCGAGUAGUGAGAAAUUUUAAAUCAGUGAGCAAAAUUUCUCAUAUGUACUCACUGUAAGUGUUCACUACAUCUUUAACUGUUCAUAGAAAGGUGGUUAGAUCUGGCAUAAAUAGUAUUCAUUGCAAGAUUACAUGAAGUACUAAUAUUCCAAUAUGCCACAUUUCUUGCUUAAUGGUGCCCACUAAUAGGAAAUAAAGAGUAAUGUAUGUAGUAUUACUUGGUAGUGGUUUACUCUGCUUUUCCAGGAAAAUAGUGUUAUCUAUGUAUGUAUGUAUGUAUGUAUGUAUGUAUGUAUGUAUGUAUGUAUUACUUGGUAGUGGUUUACUCUGCUUUUCCAGGUUGCAAAAAGGCAAUACUUGUCUGUGCUACUUGCAGUUUACUCCGCUCAUUCUACGGGUACUAAUAGGACCCAUUAGUACAUUCAGGUGGAUGGCAAGAGGACUAGAGGAUGCCUCAGGCGAGGGUGUCCAGCAAGCACUGUUAAAGAUAUUCGAAGGAACUGUAAUUGCCCAUGCUGUUUAGAAGAGUGGGAGUUUUACAGUGUGCAGACGUGACUAAUCUGACAUAUUUUUCUGCUUCAUAGAUUCUGAACUCGCAUGUAUCAUAUUAUGUCUGUUUGUUUCUAAACAAGAACAAUUUCACAUUUGCAUUGUUAGGUGAUCAGUGUGCCAAGAAAAGAAGUCGAGAUAUCAUAUCCCAUGGUUAAUGUCGAGGUAAUUGUUUUUAGAACUUCUGAUUAGCACUGGCUGCUGAAACCUGCUACAUAGCCGUAGAUCAGUAACCUUUCAGCAGUCUAGCACCAAAAGUUCCAAAUUAUUUCAUGGUGCUAUGACUUUCAGUCUUCAUUCUAUAUGUGUUGAGGGACACAGGCAACUGAACAUCAAAGAUUGAUGCCCUUGUUUCACAAGCAGUUGGCCCUAGGUACUAAAUAUAUAUAUACUUUAAAUUUGUAAUAAACACCUUCCAUUACAAUGAUGAGUGGUGCAUACGCAAGCACUCUAUUGUUAGAUGCAUAUUAAUUUGUUUUUCCAGGUUGAUAUAAAAGUAUACUCUUAAUUUGUAGAUGCGCCUUCUCUGACGUGGGGAAGAUUUAUGUCAGAAACUUGCAUAGACAGAUCAUUGAUGGGUGCAUAUUAUUAUUGUACACACAAGCAACCUUAGUUGAAUAGUUCAUUGAUGGGUGGGGAGGGCAGGUCUGCAAGGUGUUGGGAAACCCUUUUCUUGAUGUGAACAAUAUGGUAUGGUAUUGUUCUUAAUUGUCAAUCAAUCCAGGAUUCAACCUUGUUUGCAAAUUCAAGUGUUUGGUUUGAACGAUGACACAAAUCCCAUGCAAGGAACAUGUUAAUAUAGUUUUGUGCAACAUAUAUUUUUCAUCAUAGCAAUGGAAAACUGACUCGUGUGCAAGUGCCCUUCUAAUUGGUGCUCUAUGUAUGUUCUCAUUUGGUUCAGGUUGAUUUUUGUGUAUUCCAAGUUCUACAACUAUCAAGUCCGUUAGAUUUUGGGGGUCUGUAAAUUUAUUUUGUUGCCCACUUGAUGAUUAUUUGAAACCUUUUGGUUGCCUAGUGUGGAUGAGAGAAGCAUGUAUGCCUGUAAUUCAUGAUAUUUAGCUGAUUUUAAAACUCUGUACGUGUACAGUGUACACUCAUGUAAUAGUUAUUUGUCUCUCAUCAUCGACUCCUUGAAAAAUGAUCAUCCGCUUGAAGUAACUAUUGUGACAAGUAUGGUAUGUACCAAGAUGUUUGUUUUCAUGCAAAUGCCAUAAUUGGAGCGAUGCACUUUGGUUAUACCUAUAUAAUGCCUUGAAUGCCACACAUUCAAGCUGUGCUGUUAUCAAUUGCAUGAGCCAUUGCUCACUAUUUUUCCACAUACCUAUGAGAGUUUAAUUCAGAAAGGGAAGAAGCCGGGUUACCUUCAAUUGUUGGGUACAUAGACAUUCAGUGCUAUCUGGCAUGUGAGUUUUAUUUUCCCUCUCCUCCUGUAUAAUUAAUAAUUUCUGUUCACUGUAUAUGAGACUUGUCCGCAAGUGCUAUUCAAUCCAUGGUUGCUAGCAGAUAUCGUGUGGUGAUUCAGGUUGGAUGUGUACUGAUGUUUGAAAAUAAAUCCUGAAUGUUGUAACUGGUGCUUGUAAUGGUAUUUCGUUUUCGUACUAUGCAAGCCUCAGGAUGCUAAUCAAAAUAACCUUCAUGCCAAUUGAAAUACAGGUCGAUGGAGCUAGCCAGUAACCUAAUAGGUGACUUCUUAAUGCCGGCUAUUGCUAGAUUCCUUCACUGCUGUUGGAAAAUGGAGCUUCAUAUUCUAUCUGAAAUUUUUUAGGGAUUACAUGAUCUACAAGCCAAAGACUCUGAAAUACACAAACAUGAUGAUGAUUAUGAUAGAGGUAGUACAGUGGCAAGCACCAAUCAGUGUGCGGCAAAAACAUAAAGCCGAGAAGCAACACCUGCUGAUGUUCUUUCUUAUGGGAUCAGCAAAUAACCUGCAAUGAAGGAUUCUAAGGAUAAUUUGCUUGCUAUGGUUGCCACUAAAAAUCCUCAUUGUAAUUAUCUUUCGGCUUAUAAUUAUGUCUGUCAUUUCUAAAGUCAUGUUGUGACUGCAAUGAAGGUCUCCUAUAAAUGUCAGUUGUCGUUUCUAA